rnacentral:rRNA from 1 species
AUAUUGCUCAAUGGGAGAAAUCCUGAAGCAGCAACGCCGCGUGGAGGAUGAAGGGUCUAUGACUUGUAAACUCCUGUAAAGAAGGAAAAAAUUCCCAUUUGAUGGGAGAUGAUGGUACUUCUGGAGUAAGCACCGGCUAACUACGUGCCAGCAGCCGCGGUAAUACGCAGGGGGCAAGCGUUGUCCGGAUUUACUGGGUGUAAAGGGUGCUCAGGCGGAUUUGUAAGUCAGAGGUGAAAUCUUACAGCUUAACUGUGAAACUGACAUUGUUGCUGCAAGCCUAGAGUAUGGUAGAGAGUGAUGGAAUGUCUGGUGUAGCAGUGAAAUGCGUAGAUAUCAGAUAGGACACCAAUGGCGAAGGCAGUCACUUGGUCCAUUACUGACGCUAAAGCACGAAAUCGUGGGUAGC